CUAAGCCUCUUGGUUUUGGUAUCAUUGAAAUCACCUAAGGAAACAAUUCUCUACUAUGACAUAGAGAUAGCCAUGUCCCCCAGCUCUGCUCAGCUUUCAACAGACUGACUACAUUAAAGAAUAUAUAGCCUAGUGACAUGAAUCCUCCAGAAUCCCAGUCCAGUAUCAAGAAGUUUGACAUGCACUUUGACUCACAGGUUUCAAAAUUGAAGGAUCUACAGUUGGUAGAGCACUUGUAGGCUCACCUCUCUUCACGCAUCAGAUGAACAAGACAAUAUGUGUGGGAGAGUACUGAUGUUCACAGGGCCCAACAAAAUGGCUGCUGUGCCUUUCUUCUCUCUAAUGCCACACAACUUUUAGGAAGCAGAGAAGAUUUUUCAAGAUAUUAAGCCUAUUAACAAUUUAAUCAUAUAAUUCCUUAUACCCAGGAUUGUGUAAAAUAAAGAUCCCUUACUUAUGAA